UAGUGUUAAGUGAAAAGACUAGUGUCAGAUCUAAAUGGAACAGGAGUUGAGUGGAGUUUGUAUAGUGUGGUUGGGAUUGGGUUUAGAAUAUAGAAAACAUAUUCGGGUGCCGAAAUUUUGGGAAAAUCGUUUUCCAUAAGUAAAAAAUCUUCGAACACUAUGGGAUACGCCUCACGCUGUAAAAUUUUCGAGCCAGUAAACGGUCGAAAAUAAGCUCGGAACACUUGAAGACUUAUUAAAAUAUGGACUUCAUACAGGUUUUGGGGCGUCAUAGCUCCGAAUGUAACAAGGAACAUGCGAUGAGAGAGAAAACCGUGGAUCUGUGUGUAUUUAAAAUAGAGUGCGUCGAUACACGGUCGGCUGCGAAACU